rnacentral:rRNA from 1 species
UACGAAGGGGGCUAGCGUUGCUCGGAAUUACUGGGCGUAAAGGGCUCGUAGGCGGCCAACUAAGUCAGACGUGAAAUCCCUCGGCUUAACCGGGGAACUGCGUCUGAUACUGGAUGGCUUGAGUGUGGGAGAGGAAUGCGGAAUUCCAGGUGUAGCGGUGAAAUGCGUAGAUAUCUGGAGGAACACCGGUGGCGAAGGCGGCAUUCUGGACCAUUACUGACGCUGAGGAGCGAAAGCCAGGGGAGCAAACGGG